rnacentral:rRNA from 1 species
AACGAACGCUGGCGGCAUGCCUAACACAUGCAAGUCGAACGAGACCUUCGGGUCUAGUGGCGCACGGGUGCGUAACGCGUGGGAACCUGCCCUUAGGUUCGGAAUAACUACCCGAAAGGGGUGCUAAUACCGGAUAAUGUCUUCGGACCAAAGAUUUAUUGCCUUUGGAUGGGCCCGCGUUGGAUUAGCUAGUUGGUAGGGUAAAAGCCUACCAAGGCGACGAUCCAUAGCUGGUCUGAGAGGAUGAUCAGCCACACUGGGACUGAGACACGGCCCAGACUCCUACGGGAGGCAGCAGUGGUGAAUGUUGGACAAUGGGCGAAAGGCUGAUCCAGCAAUGCCGCGUGAGUGAUGAAGGCCUUAAGGUUGUAAAGCUCUUUUACCCGGGAUGAUAAUGACAGUACCGAGAGAAUAAGCUCCGGCUAACUCCGUG